rnacentral:rRNA from 2 species
UUAAUUGAAGAGUUUGAUCAUGGCUCAGAUUGAACGCUGGCGGCAGGCCUAACACAUGCAAGUCGAGCGGCAGCACAGAGGAACUUGUUCCUUGGGUGGCGAGCGGCGGACGGGUGAGUAAUGCCUGGGAAAUUGCCCGGUAGAGGGGGGAUAACCAUUGGAAACGAUGGCUAAUACCGCAUAACCUCGCAAGAGCAAAGCAGGGGACCUUCGGGCCUUGCGCUACCGGAUAUGCCCAGGUGGGAUUAGCUAGUUGGUGAGGUAAGGGCUCACCAAGG